rnacentral:rRNA from 1 species
GAGGAAAAGAAACCAACCGGGAUUGCCCUAGUAACGGCGAGUGAAGCGGCAAGAGCUCAAAUUUGAAAGCUGGCUCCUUCGGGGUCCGCAUUGUAAUUUGCAGAGGAUGCUUCGGGAGCGGUCCCCAUCUAAGUGCCCUGGAACGGGCCGUCAUAGAGGGUGAGAAUCCCGUCUGGGAUGGGGUGCCCGCGCCCGUGUGAAGCUCCUUCGACGAGUCGAGUUGUUUGGGAAUGCAGCUCUAAUUGGGUGGUAAAUUUCAUCUAAAGCUAAAUAUUGGCCGGAGACCGAUAGCGCACAAGUAGAGUGAUCGAAAGAUGAAAAGCACUUUGAAAAGAGAGUUAAACAGCACGUGAAAUUGUUGAAAGGGAAGCGCUUGCGAUCAGACUCGCCCGCGGGGUUCAGCCGGCAUUCGUGCCGGUGUACUUCCCCGUGGGCGGGCCAGCGUCGGUUUGGGCGGCCGGUCAAAGGCCCCUGGAAUGUAACGCCUCUCGGGGCGUCUUAUAGCCAGGGGUGCCAUGCGGCCUGCCCGGACCGAGGAACGCGCUUCGGCUCGGACGCUGGCAUAAUGGUCGUAAGCGACCCGU